rnacentral:rRNA from 1 species
GAAGCUUUUUGUGACGGUACCUAGAUAAGAAGCACCGGCUAACUACGUGCCAGCAGCCGCGGUAAUACGUAGGGUGCGAGCGUUGUCCGGAAUUACUGGGCGUAAAGGGCUCGUAGGUGGUUUGUCGCGUCGUCUGUGAAAUUCUGGGGCUUAACUCCGGGCGUGCAGGCGAUACGGGCAUAACUUGAGUGCUGUAGGGGUAACUGGAAUUCCUGGUGUAGCGGUGAAAUGCGCAGAUAUCAGGAGGAACACCGAUGGCGAAGGCAGGUUACUGGGCAGUAACUGACGCUGAGGAGCGAAAGCAUGGGUAGCGAACAGGAUUAGAUACCCUGGUAGUCCAUGCCGUAAACGGUGGGCGCUAGGUGUGAGUCCCUUCCACGGGGUUCGUGCCGUAGCUAACGCAUUAAGCGCCCCGCCUGGGGAGUACGGCCGCAAGGCUAAAACUCAAAGGAAUUGACGGGGGCCCGCACAAGCGGCGGAGCAUGUGGAUUAAUUCGAUGCAACGCGAAGAACCUUACCUGGGCUUGACAUACACCAGAUCGCUGCAGAGAUGUAGUUUCCCUUUUGUGGUUGGUGUACAGGUGGUGCAUGGUUGUCGUCAGCUCGUGUCGUGAGAUGUUGGGUUAAGUCCCGCAACGAGCGCAACCCUUGUCUUAUGUUGCCAGCAUUUGGUUGGGGACUCAUGAKAGACUGCCGGGGUUAACUCGGAGGAAGGUGGGGAUGACGUCAAAUCAUCAUGCCCCUUAUGUCCAGGGCUUCACACAUGCUACAAUGGUCGGUACAACGCGUUGCGACACUGUGAGGUGGAGCGAAUCGCUGAAAGCCGGCCUUAGUUCGGAUUGGGGUCUGCAACUCGACCCCAUGAAGUCGGAGUCGCUAGUAAUCGCAGAUCAGCAAUGCUGCGGUGAAUACGUUCCCGGGC